AAUUCCCUCAUUAAAAAAUUUUCCCAUCUGCCCCUUCCUUGCUUACACCUUGGUUUAAACAGUGAUGUGUAUAGGCUCAACAAAGGUUUACUCAUGGUAUGAAUAGUGGGUUUAUUUUUAAAAUUUCAUAUUCCUUUAUCUCAAAAUGGAACCAAGAAAAAGAAAAUAUUCACAAAAGAUUUGCCUGGGAGCUUUUAACAGAUCAUUCCCUAAGCCAUUGCAAAUUUGCAGCAAGAAACCAGAAAGCUAUUUAAUGUGACUGGCAAAACAAUUUAGUUGCAAGGAGAAAGGAGGCAACCCAGAGCAGGGGCUCAAAGCCUACCUCUACUCUGUGAACUUCCUGCCUCUUCGGUCUUCCUCUGCCCUGCCCAGGAGCUUUUGUGAGUUCCACCCAAGAGGGAGUUGUUGGACAGUGUGGGGAGAGCAAGUGUCUUUCACAAAGCCUGGACCUCAUAAAACUCAUCCUACCAGUGAUAUCCAUGAUGUCUUUUUUCACCUCACUACUUAUAGGGCUUUUAGUUGAAGGGUGAUGGUGAAUCAUAAAAAGAAAAUUUGUCUCGAAAUAGGUGUAGAAUUACAUGUCUGCCGAUAAAAUCUUAACGUGGGUUUAAAAAAAUUUUUUUGACACUAAUGAAGUAAAACC
rnacentral:lncRNA from 1 species